rnacentral:rRNA from 1 species
GGAACGAUAACGGCGUCGAGCGGCGGACGGGUGAGUAAUGCCUAGGAAAUUGCCCUGAUGUGGGGGAUAACCAUUGGAAACGAUGGCUAAUACCGCAUGAUGCCUACGGGCCAAAGAGGGGGACCUUCGGGCCUCUCGCGUCAGGAUAUGCCUAGGUGGGAUUAGCUAGUUGGUGAGGUAAGGGCUCACCAAGGCGACGAUCCCUAGCUGGUCUGAGAGGAUGAUCAGCCACACUGGAACUGAGACACGGUCCAGACUCCUACGGGAGGCAGCAGUGGGGAAUAUUGCACAAUGGGCGCAAGCCUGAUGCAGCCAUGCCGCGUGUGUGAAGAAGGCCUUCGGGUUGUAAAGCACUUUCAGUCGUGAGGAAGGUGGUGACGUUAAUAGCUGUUUCAUUUGACGUUAGCGACAGAAGAAGCACCGGCUAACUCCGUGCCAGCAGCCGCGGUAAUACGGAGGGUGCGAGCGUUAAUCGGAAUUACUGGGCGUAAAGCGCAUGCAGGUGGUUUGUUAAGUCAGAUGUGAAAGCCCGGGGCUCAACCUCGGAAUAGCAUUUGAAACUGGCAGACUAGAGUACUGUAGAGGGGGGUAGAAUUUCAGGUGUAGCGGUGAAAUGCGUAGAGAUCUGAAGGAAUACCGGUGGCGAAGGCGGCCCCCUGGACAGAUACUGACAC